rnacentral:tRNA from 1 species
GGGUUGGUCGUUCAACGGGAGGACGCCUGCCUUGCAAGCAGGAGAUUCGGGUUCGACUCCCGGCCGAUCCA